rnacentral:lncRNA from 1 species
AUGACCAGCCGGCCUCUUCUCUGCGCCCUGCUGCUGCUCUCCUGGAGGCUGCUUGUAGCUGAAGAGACCACUACGAAAGCUCUCACGAACACCUCUCCUACCAGUUUCCCCACCACCUCCCAUAGUAGCUCCCCCUCCCCUCCCACCUCUGACAGUGGCUCCCCAUCCCCCUUCCCUUCCACCUCCCACAGUAGCUCCCCCUCCCCUCCCACCUCUGACAGUGGCUCCCCAUCCCCCUUCCCCACCACCUCCCAUAGUAGCUCCCCCUCCCCUCCCACCUCUGACAGUGGCUCCCCAUCCCCCUUCCCUUCCACCUCCCACAGUAGCUCCCCCUCCCCUCCCACCUCUGACAGUGGCUCCCCAUCCCCCUUCCCUUCCACCUCCCACAGUAGCUCCCCCUCCUCUCCCACCUCUGACAGUGGCUCCCCAUCCCCCUUCCCUUACACCUCCCACAGUAGCUCACCCUCCUCUCCCACCUCUGACAGUGGCUCCCCAUCCCCCUUCCCUUCCACCUCCCACAGUAGCUCACCCUCCUCUCCUAACUCCCACAGUGGCUCCCAGUCCACCACCUCCUCCCACAGUGGCUCUACCUCCCACACCAGCUGGCCCUUCUCCCCAACUACCUUUGGGGGCUCCUCCCCAAACUCCAACACCUUCUCUGGAGAUCCAUCAGCUGCUACGAGUAUGACAACCCCAGAGGAGGGGUCCACCACGCUGGGGAUCAGUGCCAGUUCAGCCCCAGGGGGGACCCAGCGCAAUCCUGCUGUGGUGAUUGUGGUCUGCUUGCUCGUAUCCGUUCUGGUCCUGGGCUCUGCUAUGGUGGCUGUGAAAUGCUGCCAGAAGAAUGUGAGAGGCUUUGAGAAGAUGGAUGAGAUGCCCAUGGCAACUGUUCGAGAGGAAUCACCCUUUGCAAAAUUACCCCCCCAGUGACCACAGAUGGCAAUGGGGGGCAGCUUCUGAGGGGCUGUUGGGACAGCUCCUGUUCACCCAUGCCCUCUACCCCCUCCCAUAAGGAUACUGGAGUCUGUCACUGAAUAAAACGAAGACUGAAAUGAGACA